UGCAGUCGAACGGUAACAGGUCUUCGGACGCUGACGAGUGGCGAACGGGUGAGUAAUACAUCGGAACGUGCCCAGUCGUGGGGGAUAACUACUCGAAAGAGUAGCUAAUACCGCAUACGAUCUGAGGAUGAAAGCGGGGGACCUUCGGGCCUCGCGCGAUUGGAGCGGCCGAUGGCAGAUUAGGUAGUUGGUGGGAUAAAAGCUUACCAAGCCGACGAUCUGUAGCUGGUCUGAGAGGACGACCAGCCACACUGGGACUGAGACACGGCCCAGACUCCUACGGGAGGCAGCAGUGGGGAAUUUUGGACAAUGGGCGAAAGCCUGAUCCAGCAAUGCCGCGUGCAGGAUGAAGGCCUUCGGGUUGUAAACUGCUUUUGUACGGAACGAAAAAGCUUCUCCUAAUACGAGAGGCCCAUGACGGUACCGUAAGAAUAAGCACCGGCUAACUACGUGCCAGCAGCCGCGGUAAUACGUAGGGUGCGAGCGUUAAUCGGAAUUACUGGGCGUAAAGCGUGCGCAGGCGGUUAUGUAAGACAGAUGUGAAAUCCCCGGGCUCAACCUGGGAACUGCAUUUGUGACUGCAUGGCUAGAGUACGGUAGAGGGGGAUGGAAUUCCGCGUGUAGCAGUGAAAUG
rnacentral:rRNA from 1 species